AUCAUUGAAGAGCUGCUAGAUGAACUUCACGGAGCCAAGUGGUUUUCCAAGCUUGAUUUGAGAGCCGGCUACCAUCAGAUACGGCUGGCGGAAGGGGAUGAACACAAAAUGGCCUUCCAAACUCACUCCGGGCAUUUUGAGUUUUUGGUCAUGUCAUUUGGCUUGGCAGGUGGACCAGCAACCUUCAUUGAAUCCAUCCAAGACACUCUGCAGCCUGUGUACCGUGUCUGUGUGCUGUCCUUUUUCGACGACAUCCUAGUAUUCAGUAAAAGUUUGGAGGACCAUGUCGAACACUUGCGCCAAGUUUUCCAGUUGCUACAACGAGAUCAAUGGAAAGUCAAACUCUCCAAAUGUUUGUUCGGC
rnacentral:rRNA from 1 species